rnacentral:lncRNA from 1 species
UUUUUAUUACUUUCUUUGUUACAUCAUAUUAUAAAGUCAAUAUUUGUCCAUAUUUUACAAAAUGGCAAAAAAAAAAAUUCUAGUUUUCAUCGACAUUACUACAUGCAUCAUCAGAUCAUAUUUCUUUUUCAUCAAGUUAAUAAAAAUCUAAUUUUCUUUGCACUAAAGAAAAAUUUCCCAAAAUAUCUUUUUUGUGUUCAUCACAUACAUAAAAAUC